GCAUUUCAAGCUCGAACUUAAGACGAUCUCAAAUAUAAGAUCGGACUAUGAAUACCGGCCAUGGAGAUAGUACUAGCAGAGAGAAACCUGAGAGCGGCCACCAGCCUCGACGGGCACAUUUCUCGUAAAGUUACUAGAUUAACAUAGUACUGCAAUUUUGAUCUCAAUAAGAUAAGAUGGAGCUGUAAGGCGUAAGCACUGAAAUAUAUCUAUACUGGAAGAGGCACUGGCUUUGUUUGCCGUAGACGGAAAGCGUGCCUGCGAUAGAUAGAUGUUUGGGGAUUGCUAUCUCGUUUUUUCCGGCGCUGCGUCUGCGCAGAACGAAACAAGUCACAUGAUGUACAGGCGAAAUCGAAAGUUUAGUUUUUUGCUUGGCUUAUUGAGGUAACGGUGGCAAUGUGGCAUGUUCUGAAACAUUUUAUUUUAAUCAAUUCGAAAAAAGAUAUUAAUGUCAAAUUCUUGAUGUUUGAAAUAGAUUUUGUGUUUCAAUAAUAUAAAAGAAAAAUGGUGAAACAUUGCUGUGUAAAAAAUUGUCGAAAUGUUUGGAUUCCUAACACUAACCUCACAUUCCAUACUUUUCCAUGGAGUAAUAAAGAACGCUUGGAAGAAUGGAUAAGUGUCGUGCUAAGCAAGAGUCGUAUUGGAAAAUAUUCAUAUAUUUGCAGUGCACAUUUUAACGACACUGAUUUUUUAAAUGUGGGAACAAAUUAACAAUUAAAAAAAAAUGUUGUGCCAAGUAAUUUUAAAGACAGUGAUGAGUUAUCAAAACGCGCUAAUGGCCUCCCCCUUGACAAAUUUCUGGAUCCGCCAAUGCGUAAAACAUCCCAAGAUUGAUUUAUUAAUACUCAUCUAUAAUUUUAUAUCUUAUCUUAUA